UACGUAGGGUGCAAGCGUUGCCCGGAUUUAUUGGGCGUAAAGAGCGCGUAGGCGGUCUGUUAAGUGUGAAGUGAAAUCUCGGGGCUCAACCCCGAAACUGCUUCGCAUACUGGCAGACUUGAGGGAUGGAGAGGUUUGUGGAAUUCCUGGUGUAGCGGUGAAAUGCAUUGAUAUCAGGAGGAACACCCAUGGCGAAGGCAGCAAACUGGCCAUCAUCUGACGCUGAGGCGCGAAAGCGUGGGUAGCAAACAGG
rnacentral:rRNA from 1 species